UGUGUGUUGGAUAAUGGUGAGGUGAUUUGGCCUAGUAAAUUUGUUUGAUCUUUGUAGCGUCAAAGUUGCAGAAAUUUUACCCUCUCAUUUGCAUUAAGAAGAAUGUUUCUGCGAAGCAUGGAGCACAAUUUCUAAAAAAAAAAAUUUUCAAUUCAACCCCAGAGUUUUAGAGUUUCAUAAUUCGAUCUCCAAAGCUGCCAUAAGUCUCUCAAUCAGGUCCUAAAGUGGGUUGUGUCUGAAUCUCUAAGUUUUCCCUUAUUCUGCUGUGGCCCAAAACUUGGGAAAAUUGAACUAAUUUCGCCCUCUUGAGCUUAAUCCUCUGUUUGCAUGUUUCUUGAUAGAUUAAUCUUGGGGAUUUAAUGCUUAAUCAAAGCUUAUUAAUUUUAGUGGGGUUUUAUCUUGUUGGACUUGGCUACUUAUUUGGGUUACUUGGAUUUGGGUUAAGUUGUUUUUAUGUGGGCUUGGCCUGAGCUGAGGGGCUGAGACCCAUCAGGUUGUUGGAAUAUUCUUUGGGCCAAUAAAUGGCCUAUUUCCCUUUGUUUUGGAUUCCUGUUGGGCUUGGAAGGUUUUGGCCCAAGCAAAUAAAUAAAAUGGCCCAAUGGCCUGUUCUCUAAGAUUCUGGUAACUGAAUUGGCAAAUCAGUCCCUGGAUUUCUCCUUAACUAUACUGUGGCCCUGGACAUUUUCAAUUUCUUUCAAUUGGGUCCCUAAUGUAAUUGCACAUAGGUCCCUGAA
rnacentral:lncRNA from 1 species